rnacentral:rRNA from 1 species
AUACAUGCAAGUCGAGCGGACAGAUGGGAGCUUGCUCCCUGAUGUUAGCGGCGGACGGGUGAGUAACACGUGGGUAACCUGCCUGUAAGACUGGGAUAACUCCGGGAAACCGGGGCUAAUACCGGAUGCUUGUUUGAACCGCAUGGUUCAAACAUAAAAGGUGGCUUCGGCUACCACUUACAGAUGGACCCGCGGCGCAUUAGCUAGUUGGUGAGGUAACGGCUCACCAAGGCAACGAUGCGUAGCCGACCUGAGAGGGUGAUCGGCCACACUGGGACUGAGACACGGCCCAAACUCCUACGGGAGGCAGCAGUAGGGAAUCUUCCGCAAUGGACGAAAGUCUGACGGAGCAACGCCGCGUGAGUGAUGAAGGUUUUCGGAUCGUAAAGCUCUGUUGUUAGGGAAGAACAAGUGCCGUUCAAAUAGGGCGGCACCUUGACGGUACCUAACCAGAAAGCCACGGCUAACUACGUGCCAGCAGCCGCGGUAAUACGUAGGUGGCAAGCGUUGUCCGGAAUUAUUGGGCGUAAAGGGCUCGCAGGCGGUUUCUUAAGUCUGAUGUGAAAGCCCCCGGCUCAACCGGGGAGGGUCAUUGGAAACUGGGGAACUUGAGUGCAGAAGAGGAGAGUGGAAUUCCACGUGUAGCGGUGAAAUGCGUAGAGAUGUGGAGGAACACCAGUGGCGAAGGCGACUCUCUGGUCUGUAACUGACGCUGAGGAGCG